GACAGAGGGUGCAAACGUUGUUCGGAAUUACUGGGCGUAAAGCGCGUGUAGGCGGCCCUGCAAGUCGGAUAUGAAAUCCCACGGCUCAACCAUGGAAGUGCAUUCGAAACUGCAGAGCUAGAGUCCUGGAGAGGAAGGUGGAAUGCUUGGUGUAGAGGUGAAAUUCGUAGAUAUCAAGCGGAACACCGGUGGCGAAGGCGGCCUUCUGGACAGUGACUGACGCUGAGACGCGAAAGCGUGGGGAGCAAACAGG
rnacentral:rRNA from 1 species